rnacentral:rRNA from 1 species
AUUGACCGCUGGCGGCAGGCCUAACACAUGCAAGUCGAACGAGUGGCGGACGGGUGAGUAAUGUCUGGGAAACUGCCUGAUGGGGGGGGAUCACUACUGGAAACGGUAGCUAAUACCGCAUACCAUCAGAUGUGCCCAGAUGGGUUUAGCUAGUUUGUGGGGUAACGGCUCACCAAGGCGGCGAUCCCUAGCUGGUCUGAGAGGAUGACCAGCCAAACUGGAAGUGAGACACGGUCCAGACGCCUACGGGAGGCAGCAGUGGGGAAGAUUGCACAAUGGGCGCAAGCCUGAUGCGGCCAUGCCGCGUGUAGGAAGAAGGCCUUCGGGUUGUAAAGUACUGUCAGCGGGGAGGCGUUACCCGCAGAAGAAGCACCGGCUAACUCCGUGCCAGCAGCGGCGGUAAUAC